rnacentral:lncRNA from 1 species
AUGUUGACCUCUGGGUGUAUUACGGUAAGAUUUGUAGUUAUGUUGCAGUCUCAUUCAAGUAUAUUCCACAUCUCCUUAUUUCAUUUACUAUGUCAAAGUUCUUUGAUUGUGCAACGAUACAUCCCAAGCAAUAUGUUUUUAGCAUUAAAAAAGUUCUUUAACAUCUUUUGAGUAGGAGAUUUAUACAGAUGAUGUUUUAAUACUACAUAAAAACAGCUGCUAUUUACAACUAUCACAUGCAUGUUUUUCAAGAGCUCUCUGUUACGAGAGUACUUUACAUAGAAAUGUUACUUCCGAACAAGUUUUACAGAGAGAAUGGUAACACUUAGAACCUAAAAGUUUGGCAGCAGCAUUGACGGAAGGAAAAAUGAUUAUAAACUCAUGCGUUGAUAUUACAACUAAUGUAUUUCUUUUUCUUGCAACAGACAAUUGAACAUUAUCCAAACAACCAAGUUUUUAGAAUGUUUACAGAUGAGUUUUUUUUGGAAAUAUUAUGGAAGACAA